ensembl:lncRNA
GGAAAAGGGCUGGGAAAUACAUCAGACGAAACCUAUUGAUGCUUUUUGUUCUAUAAGUUGUUGUUUCAGGAUACCACUUUUACCCAUAUUUAGAUUUCCUAAUAGUUUUGGAUUUGGCUGUUGUUCAGAAUGUCCUUAGCACAGUUCCUCUACCAUCAGUUCGCUGUGUUUAGUGGGAGCUCUUUGGAGUGUGGGCCCCUGUUUUGGUUUCUCAUUAAGUGCUGUCUCCCCCGUUCACUUCCAUGGCUAACAUAUCCCCGCGCACACAGGCCCGCUUUCCAGCCACACUGAGGCCCCGUGGAAUUUGGAGGGUAACGGGGUGAAUGGUACAGUACCUGACUAUCCAAUCUGCCUGAAACUACCGUGACUAACAGGGGGGCCCUUUUAAACCCUUGGGAGGGGCCCCGUGUCCCUUCCAGCCUCGAGCCGACUCGUCUGUCUACUGUCUGACACACACACACACAUACAAGCACACUCACAUGCAUACACAUACACACACACACAUGAUUAAGCCUACACCCACAUGCACACAAACACACACUCAGAAACACACAACAAAGCAUACAAAUAUAUACGCAAACACACACAAACACACAACAAAACACUCAAACACACCCUUUUGUCUGAAUGAAAGGGUAUGAUAACUGUCUGUUGGCUGUUUUUAUGGAGGGAUAUUGAGCAGUCGAACGUCAGUUUGUUUUUGUUGCUCUCAGUUAUUGGACUAUGUGACCCUUUUCCUGUGCGCCGUAUCGACUCCUCAUCACAACAACAUCCAUUCAUGUCUCUGUGCUUCUUCACAACCGCUCAACCUAAAGAACAAGUUAAAAAUAAAAACAGGAACCACUGUUUUUAUUUGUUCUUGUUUUUUUGACUCGCCCUAUCAGUAUGCAGCACAUUUCAACAACGAUGGCUACAUUCCCCUUCCCAAACUCAUCUUCCCCCGAAGCGCCCAGGACACGCCUGAGACCAUUGAGCUGGAGGUCCUCACAACCUCCUCGGAGGGCCUGGUGCUCUGGCAGGGGGUGGUAGGUCUCUCACCCACUUCAGCCCUGACCCCUAGAGACUGAGGCGUAUACCUGGCCCCUUGGUCCUUUCAUACAGACCACUAAUCUCACCCGAAUGUACCAAAUGCCUGCUCUCUGUACCUACCCACCUAACUCUUUGCAUUUUCUCUUUCUCUUUCUCGACAUAUCUCACAACAAUUGCUUUCUUAUCACCUUUCUUAUCUUCUUAUCUUCCUUUGUAAAGAAAAAAAACACUGUUAACACACCACAUUUUCACAACAUGUAUGCACAGUUCCUGACUGUAUAAUGUACAUUUAACAUUGGCCUUUUCUUCUGAAUGGCUGUAACAAGAAAAACAAUAGCAUGACAUGAAUAAAUGUAAUGCUUUAUCAUUGUUAAUCAUUUGUUAACAAAGUAAUUUAUGGCUGUGUUUGACCCCACUACUGCAUGUUGCCUGCGUCAGCCAUGCUAUGCUAACUCACCCCAUCCAUUUCCUCAGGAGACCAAUGGCACACGCCAUUUGCGCAAGGUGCAUGCUAACAAAAAGGUAUCAACUCAAACACAAAGGAAAUACACCAGUUGGAAUCAGUUGAAAAGCAGGCAAAACACUGGUUGUCAACUUUUUUGAAAAAAUCCAAUAGUCUGAAGUUCAACUAUUUGGUUAUUUGUAUACAAUUCUAUUCAAAUUGACCUGUCAGAAUCCGGCUUUAUUGGCCAAGUAUGCUUACUUAUACAAGGAACUUGCCUAUGGCUUUCAGUGCAGUUUUUCCAGGGACAAAGUUAAAUGUUCAUAAGGGCGAUGGCCUUCAAACAAUGUCAAUGAGGUGUUUUUUGUUUCAAGAUAGUGUAUUUAGCAAUUAAAAAAAAAAAAAAUUAGUUCUACAGUACUUUUAGUUUUUAGUUUGAUGACAGUUACACCUUCUCUCAUCUUCUUGGAAGCCAAUCGAUUCCAUUUUGUUUGAUAAACAAAUUCUGUUACAGGAAAUGGGCGAUAGGGGAAAGGGCAAGGACUUUAUCAGCCUGGGGCUGCAGAACGGACACCUUGUUUUCAGUUACCAGCUGGGCAGUGGAGAGGCGGAGAUUAAAUCGUGGGAGCCAAUCAAUGACGGCCAAUGGCACAAGGUCACCGCGGUCAGAACUGGAAAAGAGGGCUACAUCCAGAUAGACGGGGGAGACAUGAGACACGGACAGUCCAAGGGCAAAAGCCUCAUGGUCAACACCAAAGGCAGAAUAUACCUGGGUGAGAGCAUGUAGUGACAUCAUCAUUAGGACAUUGAUCUGGGGGACAGCACAAAGUGCCAUUAUCAUGAGGUCAUUUAACUUGGGGGGGGGGAGGUAAUGACAUCACCAUAAGGACAUUUACCUUGGGAGAGAGCACGUAGUGACAUCAUCAUGAGGACAUGUACCUGGGGGAGGACUUAAUGACAUCAUCGUGAGGACAUUUACCUUGGGGGAGGAUGUAAUGACAUCAUCAUGAGGACAUGUACCUGGGUGAGAGGAUUAGGUGUCAGGUCUUUUAUUUUACCGUUCUCUUAGCUCAGCUUCAGUGAUCAGACUCUUGCCCUCCCUAUCGGCUUAUGAUUAUGCUGCAAGCUCUCUCGUUUACACUACCUGACCUUUGGUUUGGAGUUCUGAUAUGAACCUCUUGCAUGGGUGUUUUAUUAUUUUUAGGGAUGCCCAUUGGCUAAUUAGUUUUUGUGCUCAUUGCAGUUUCCAGAUUUGUGCCUUUAUCUUACUCACUGGCAAACUGUACUAUUGGUUAGUGUACGCCCAGGCCAACAGUGAGGGCCAAAGUCUGAUCAGUGAGUCAGUGAGAAAGAAGGCAAGGGAACUGUAAACAAAAUUACAUGAUAUCAAAAAUGAAGAAGACCAGGUUAAACCGAUCACACAAAUAGUUCUUUUGAAACUUAAAUGUUUUACUUUUGAGAUAAAACUUUAUUUUUUUGCGUCAGUGAUUGUUAUUCCCUCUCAAAUUCUUUCUCAAAUUUUGUUUAAGAAUUAAAAAGUUUGAUUAUAUUGUCACAAAUCUGAUUCCACAGAAAGAUUCUAAUGACUAUGAUAAAUAAUAUGAUCUUCUGAUGUUGCGAUGAGCCAACCAAACUGAUCUGUGCAUGUGUGUAUGUGCAUGUGUGUGUGGGUGUGUGUGUGGCCCUCCAGGGGGCGCUCCGGACAUGGUGGGGAUGACGGGCGGGAAGUUCUCCGGCGGUAUGCGGGGCUGCGUGCGCAGCGUGUCGCUGAUGAGCGCGUGGCCUGGGGCUCAGCCGGCGCAUGCCAUCGACCUGCAGGCGCACGCCAAGCACGGCGUCAACGUGCAACCCUGCUCCUCAUAGACAGCAGUACACACACACAGACACACACACACACACACACACACACACACACACACACACACACACACACACACACACACACACACACACACACACAACCAGAGACUAUAGAGUGAUGGAGUCACACUCCUCCCCACACUCCCGGACACACACACAACCGCAAACGCAGAGAAAGAACGAAGAUGGAUAAAGAGAGAGGAGGAGAGAUAGAGGAAGAGAGAGGGAGCGACUCAUAUAGAACCUGUUACACACUCGGUGCUGCGCUGCUACCAAAAACACACACACACACACAUAAACACACUCACACAAAGAAAAGCAAGGAUUCUUCUCUCUGUCUGCGUUAAAACCAAAAAACUAAAAAAAGAGAUAACAUUUCAAUCGUAUUAACAAGUCUUCCCUUCCUCUGUGUUGUAUUCUCGAUGAAGGACUAUUAACACAGGAGAACCAGAACAGUUGACAUAUUCCCGGUAGUAGCUUAAGACCAGCAGAGUCAAGAGUCAAAGUGCAUUAGAUCCUCAACGAAGGCUCAGAUCCUAUGGAGGUGGAGUUGUUUUUACAGCACUGAAUUUUUUUAUUUAUAUGCAUAUGAAUAUAUAUUAUAUAUUUGUGUGGGGGGCGGGGGGAAACGUGCAAACUAACCACAACUGCUUUUCUUAUUUCCUGGAGUGUCCAGGUCUCUUUUUCUUCGGUUUUCUUUAUAGGUCUUAGUGUGAUUAAGAUCGAAAGAAAUGUUCAGAUCUUUAGGCCUAACCGUCUUGACUUUUCUCUGUGCUACCGUAGUUUGGGAGGUGAGCACAUUUAACUGUCUUCUAGAGACUGUUGGGAGAGGGGGCCGUGGUCACAGCCACAGGCUUUCAUUAGACGCAACUCAGGUUAACAGGUGGAAUACAACAUGCAGGACUGCAUGGAGCAAGGGGAUUCAGGAACGGAACAGUGCGUUUUUGAUGUAUUUCCGAAUCACCAGACACUCACUUUUACUGGUAUCUUAUGUUGGGUCUUGCUCUUCCCAUCGACAGAAAUGGGGAAACUUUGGUGCUAUACCCCCUCACAGCCACAGUUGUCUUUUGGUGUAAAGUUUCAGUUGUGUCACAGUGGCUUAGCGUUGGGAGUUUGCAAACGGUAACAAUGAGAUAUUACUUAUUCAUGUCGGUCCCUGAUGGAGUAGAAAACCAAUUUUUUAUCUAUACAUUCUCGAAUGUGUGAUUGUUUGUCUCUGUGAGUUUAUCUAUGAAUGGCAUAUUUGCGUGUGUGUUUGUGUGUCAGAGUGCGUGUGCGUGUUUGUGUUUGCAUGUGUAAUUUUUCUUAUAUCGAAACAGAAAGUCUAUGGCAAAAAUGCCUCAACUUGUUGCCAAACGUUAACCUUAAUGUUUCUAGCUGCUACAGGACCAGUGUUUGCUAGAUCCACCUUGUAGCCAUUCAACAAUGUCUUCAACAACAGUUGAGGCCGUGUGUGUGUGUGUGUGUGUGUGUGUGUGUGUGUGUGUGUGUGUGUGUGUGUGUGUGUGUGUGUGUGUGUGUGUGUGUGUGUGUGUGUGUGUGUGUGUGUGUGUGUGUGUGUGUGUGUGUGUGUGUAUGUGUGUGUGUGUGUGUGUGUGUGUGUGUGUGUGUGUGUGUGUGUGUGUGUGUGUGUGUGUGUGUGUGUGUGUGUGUGUGUGUGUGUGUGUGUGUGUGUGUGUGCAUUUGGCCUCCCUCUCCCCAUAGAACGCCAUGCUCACUCGCCCCCUUCUUGAUCAUAUGAAUAGAUAUUCAUCACCGCAUGUUCACCGCAGGCUUCACAGACCAUGUCACCUUUUUUUGUACGCUUAAAAUGUUUCAUAUUCAAAAGAAAUAGCACUAUAAUUUUACUCACAGUUGCUUCAUAAUUUAUUGUUUCUUUCAUAUAUAUAUUUUUUUUUCCUAUUUUCUAUUUUUUUUUGCUUUGCUUGAUACCACUUUUUGAAGCAAUACCUUUACUGCUGUUCUUUUUGGUUAUCGUUUUUUUGCCUCCCACAUCCCCCAACCCCAUUUUUAUUUUCAUGUUUCCCGGAAAAACUUUUGUUAAAACCUUUCUCCACCUGUAGUCCCUGUACUCUCUCAGCCAUUAUACAUGACCUCUGUUGAGCCCACAUUUCGCUCCAGGAUUCCAUUAUCCUGAACAACAGCUGGCCUCAAUUCAGAAUCAGUCUGAGCAUUAUGUUGCAUACAAGGAAGCAGCCAUAUUAUUUGGGGGGGGAAAUGUGCUGUAGGUGAAGUUAAAGAGGGCAAGAGGUUUCCCCCAAAGAACGACUACUUUGGGGGUGUUGGGUGUAUGAAUUCACAACUGGAGGUCCAUAUGAACUGUAAAUUGGCUUGCCCCACCAUAUCCAUUAACUACGUCAAGGCAAUGAUUUGAAAGAACAAAUAUUCAUGAACUGUUUCUGAUUGGAACAUUUUCCAUAAUGUGGUCAUUAUUUCUUUCAUUUUUAAUUUUUUUCUCUAGUUCAUGUUUAACUCCAGAUGACAGGCCAAAAUGUGGAAGUAAUGUAUCAUGGAGAUCAGUGAUGGGAAUUGUACAAGUUGAAAUAGUGUCUUACCAACAAAAGUGUUUAAACUACCCCCUUUUUUUUAUUUUUUUUUGGUGUUUCUUAAUUAAAAACAAAAUUCAUGUGCUAAUUAUUAUCUCCUUUCUUUUUUCCUUUCACCGUUUCAGGAUUCUGUUUUCAUUUCCUCACGUUUGAAAGUGAUCCUUUGUGGUGUUGGAAUGAGUCCUGCAUUGUAGCCCCAGCCUACCCCAGGCAGUCCUGGGGGAAAGCAGUACUCAUUGUUAUUGACUCAGACAAUCUCUGUUGUGUCCCAAGUUCUACUCUUGCAUCCCAAGAAUCUCAGGUUUCACUUAAUUGUGCAUAUCUCGAGUAACGCAAAGGUAACCCACUACAGCACUAUAUUUUAUUAAUCGUACACACUCCCUCCAUUGUGCCAAACUUGACAUUUGGAUGAUCAAUUGCUUUGCGCAAUUCCAGAACUACUUUUUUAUUUCUCAAAUCCUGCCUUUGUUUAUUCAGUUCACCAAAUACAUCAUGAUGAUAUGGAUAUUUGC